GUCUACAGCCAUGCUACCCUGAACAAGCCUGAUUCCGUCUCAUCUCAGAAGCUAAGCAGAGUAGGACCUGGUUAGUACUUGGAUGGAAGACCACCAGGUGCUGUAGACG
rnacentral:rRNA from 1 species